rnacentral:rRNA from 1 species
AACGAGCGCUGGCGGCAUGCCUAACACAUGCAAGUCGAACGAGAUCUUCGGGUCUAGUGGCGCACGGGUGCGUAACGCGUGGGAAUCUGCCCUUUGGUUCGGAAUAACAGUUGGAGACGACUGCUAAUACCGGAUGAUGACGAAAGUCCAAAGAUUUAUCGCCAGAGGAUGAGCCCGCGUAGGAUUAGCUAGUUGGUGUGGUAAAGGCGCACCAAGGCGACGAUCCUUAGCUGGUCUGAGAGGAUGAUCAGCCACACUGGGACUGAGACACGGCCCAGACUCCUACGGGAGGCAGCAGUGGGGAAUAUUGGACAAUGGGCGAAAGCCUGAUCCAGCAAUGCCGCGUGAGUGAUGAAGGCCUUAGGGUUGUAAAGCUCUUUUACCCGGGAUGAUAAUGACAGUACCGGGAGAAUAAGCUCCGGCUAACUCCGUGCCAGCAGCCGCCGUAA